AAAAUAAAGUAAAAAUGAAUAUUAUUGAAAAGUUAAUGAUUUUGCACAAGUAAGAUAUUUUAUAAAAUGCUUAAUUAUUUUUUAUUAUAAAAAGUAACUGCAUCGGCUGAGUGCGGUGGCUCACGACUGUAAUCCCAGCACUUUGGGAGGCCGAGGCGGGUGGAUCACAAGCUCAGGAGUUCAAGAUCAGCCUGGCCAAGAUGGUGAAACUCCGUCUCUACUAAAAAUAUAAAAAUUAGCCAGGUGUGGUGGUGGUUGCUUGUCAACCCAGGUACUCGGGAGGCUGAAGCAGAGAAUUGCUUGAACCUGGGAGGCAGAGGUUGCAGUGAGCCAAGAUCGUGCCACUGCACUACAGCCUGGGCAACAGAGCAAGACUCUGUCAAAAAAAAAAAAAAAAGGAACUGUAUCACCAAAAAGGUGAAAAAAAAAACCAAACACUAUACUAUGAUCUUAAUAUAACCACAAUUUUUGUUUUUUUAGACGGAGCUCUGUCGCCCAGGCUGGGGUGCAUUGGUGCAAUCGAGGCUCACUGCAACCUCCACCUCCUGGGUUCAAGCAAUUCUCCUGCCUCAGCCUCCCGAGUAGCUGGGAUUACAGCAGUUUUUAUGUCACUGGCAUAACAUCAUCAUUGGCAUGAAUCAUCUCAUAGGUAAGCUAAGGGCUGAUACCCCUAUCUUAAUAAUUAGCAAAAUGGAGACCUAAAUUUGGAGACUUUGCCAAAUUAAUAAAGAGUUGAAGCCCAACCCA
rnacentral:lncRNA from 13 species